GAUGAACGCUGGCGGCGUGCCUAAUACAUGCAAGUCGAGCGAAUGGAUUAAGAGCUUGCUCUUAUGAAGUUAGCGGCGGACGGGUGAGUAACACGUGGGUAACCUGCCCAUAAGACUGGGAUAACUCCGGGAAACCGGGGCUAAUACCGGAUAAUAUUUUGAACUGCAUGGUUCAAAAUUGAAAGGCGGCUUCGGCUGUCACUUAUGGAUGGAUCCGCGUCGCAUUAGCUAGUUGGUGAGGUAACGGCUCACCAAGGCAACGAUGCGUAGCCGACCUGAGAGGGUGAUCGGCCACACUGGGACUGAGACACGGCCCAGACUCCUACGGGAGGCAGCAGUAGGGAAUCUUCCGCAAUGGACGAAAGUCUGACGGAGCAACGCCGCGUGAGUGAUGAAGGCUUUCGGGUCGUAAAACUCUGUUGUUAGGGAAGAACAAGUGCUAGUUGAAUAAGCUGGCACCUUGACGGUACCUAGCCAGAAAGCCACGGCUAACUACGUGCCAGCAGCCGCGGUAA
rnacentral:rRNA from 1 species